GCUAAUGUGACUAUCAUUUUCCCCCAAAUCCUGGUAUUCAGAAUGGCCGCUGCAAAAGCUUUAUAGACGGUUUGUAGGAACUGAUCUACCGCUGAUCUUUGUAUGUCAUGGGAGGAUUGUAAAGUAUUGGCCUUGGCUGUACCAGCCCCCUGGAAGAAUGGUCCUGGAAGAGCUACUACAUAUAUGGGACAGGAGCCAGCAUAAAUGUCAUCUGAGAGGCUUCACCCAGCAGCUGAUGGAAACAGAUGCAGAGACCCAUAUCCAAACAUCAAGAGGAGCUCAGGGAAUCUUGUGGAAGAUGAUGGGGAGGAAGGAUUGAAAGAGCCAGAGAGAUCAAGGACACCACAAGAAAACCUACAGAAUCAACUAGCCUAGGCCCAUAGGUGUUCACAGAGGCUGAACCACCGACCAGAGAGCAUGCAUGGGAGGACCUAGGUCCCCUACACAUAUGUAACAGAUCUACAGCUUGGUCCUUAUGUGGAACCUCUAACAGCAGGAGUAGGCGCUGCCUCUGCCUCUGCCUUUGGAUCCCUUUCCCCUAACUGGGUGGCCUUCUCUAGCCUCAAGAGAAGACGAUGUGCCUAGCCCUACUACAACUUGCUAUGCCAAGGUGGGAGGAUAGCCAUGGGAAGUCCCCCCUUCUUUUCCUCUGAAGAAAAGGGAAGGGGGGCAUAUGAGGCGAGGGGAGAGGGAGGAACUGGGAGGAAAGGAGGGAGGGGAAGCUGUGAUUGGGAUCUAAAGUAAAUAAAUACAUUAAUUAAUUAAUGAAAAGAAAAGAAAAGCAGUCUUGGUAAGUGAGGUGGCCUGGACCCAGAAAGACACAUGCAACAUAUUCUCUCUUAAGUUUGGAUUCUGAUUCUGAAUCUUUAGGUGUAAGUAGAUAACCUGGAGUAACCAUGCAAACCAGGCAAGUGAAAAAGCGACAUAGGAAGUGGAGGAGCUUUAGUGAAGGAUACAGUAGAACACAGGUGCUGUGAAGGAGAAAAUAAAAAAAAGUGGGGGGGGGAGUUAACUAAGGAAGGAGAAGGAAGGAAUACAGAGGGUCUGGAAGAAGCCAUGGGUAAACAUAUUACCUCAUAUUUACCUUAACAUCCAUAUUAUAUAAUAACUCCUCCAAGAGCCAUAGCCAAACAAGGGAAACCUCCCUUUGAAUUGUUGGUCAGGGGAGUCCAAGAGACUAACGCUAUCACUGCCGUCCCUGGUUGCCUCGGGACUCACUGCUGAAGAUGCCACACAUUUAAGAUGCAGGACUGGGAAGAAUGGAGCCGGAACUGACCUGGAAGUCUUCUCCCCCAGGACCAGCCCUCAGGGUAUCUGAAGGUGCUAUGCCAGCUGCCAAGGGAGAAAAGCAAUCAGUUGUCCUACCCAGCUGUGAUGCCUAUGAACCACGACAACCAUGGCCAUAUAUCCCCAGUGGUGCAAUAGUGUCACUCAACUGUCAAAAAGCCAGACUUCCAGGCCACUGCCUAGCAGACAGAGGCGAACCAUGAAAAAGUAAAAAUGUGUCUGUGUUCCAGUGCAGAGACCUGAAACACUGUUCUGUAGCAUGUUGGAACACUGCUAAAGAUAUAUGAUCUCCUGGCCUACUCAUGUUCAGUCUGUGGAGAUAGACACAUAGUUGUCUACAGUA